CUCGUCAGACGAACGCUGGCGGCGUGCUUAACACAUGCAAGUCGAACGAUGAAGCCCUUCGGGGUGGAUUAGUGGCGAACGGGUGAGUAACACGUGGGCAAUCUGCCCUUCACUCUGGGACAAGCCCUGGAAACGGGGUCUAAUACCGGAUAUGACACACGACCGCAUGGUCUGUGUGUGGAAAGCUCCGGCGGUGAAGGAUGAGCCCGCGGCCUAUCAGCUUGUUGGUGGGGUGAUGGCCUACCAAGGCGACGACGGGUAGCCGGCCUGAGAGGGCGACCGGCCACACUGGGACUGAGACACGGCCCAGACUCCUACGGGAGGCAGCAGUGGGGAAUAUUGCACAAUGGGCGAAAGCCUGAUGCAGCGACGCCGCGUGAGGGAUGACGGCCUUCGGGUUGUAAACCUCUUUCAGCAGGGAAGAAGCGAGAGUGACGGUACCUGCAGAAGAAGCGCCGGCUAACUACGUGCCAGCAGCCGCGGUAAUACGUAGGGCGCAAGCGUUGUCCGGAAUUAUUGGGCGUAAAGAGCUCGUAGGCGGCUUGUCACGUCGGAUGUGAAAGCCCGGGGCUUAACCCCGGGUCUGCAUUCGAUACGGGCAGGCUAGAGUUCGGUAGGGGAGAUCGGAAUUCCUGGUGUAGCGGUGAAAUGCGCAGAUAUCAGGAGGAACACCGGUGGCGAAGGCGGAUCUCUGGGCCGAUACUGACGCUGAGGAGCGAAAGCGUGGGGAGCGAACAGGAUUAGAUACCCUGGUAGUCCACGCCGUAAACGUUGGGAACUAGGUGUGGGCGACAUUCCACGUCGUCCGUGCCGCAGCUAACGCAUUAAGUCCCCGC
rnacentral:rRNA from 1 species